GGUAUGCUCGUCCAAAAAAGACAGUUGAUUUCGACUCAACCAAUUAUGGUUUAAAUCCAUAGCAUCCCU
rnacentral:tRNA from 1 species